UUCCUUGAGGCCCUANCCUUUUCGAGGGGGNCGUGGACUGUCGCUGGCUUCGGCUUUGCACGUCCGUCUUUCUCUUACUCUCACACCUAGAGGAUCUAUGUUUCAAUCAUCACACACAUCGUAUGUCUAGNAAUGUAUCAUGAUCGUCGUCCGACCUCGCGGUUGGAGGGUGGUCUAAAACAAAUACAACUUUCAGCAACKGAUCUCUUGGCUCUCGCAUCGAUGAAGAACGCAGCGAAUUGCGAUAAGUAAUGUGAAUUGCAGAUUUUCAGUGAAUCAUCGAAUCUUUGAACGCACCUUGCGCUCCUUGGUAUUCCGAGGAGCAUGCCUGUUUGAGUGUCAUGGAAUUCUCAACCAUGUCUUGAUUGACUUCGAGGCAUGGCUUGGAUGUGGGGGUUGCUGGCGGUGAAAGCUGUCGGCUCUCCUGAAAUGCAUUAGCGAUGGACAGCAAGUCUGACGUGCACGGCCUCGACGUGAUAAUGAUCGUCGUAGCUGGAGCGUCGGACGAGCGCAAUAUGUCCCUUUGCUUCCAAUCCUUUGACUUGGGAAUAGGACUUUCGAGCGAAGCUUUAGUUACUAGUCGGUCGUGAGGCCGACGAACGCAGGGCGGGAUCGAAGGUCGGGAAGCCCUCGUCU
rnacentral:rRNA from 1 species